rnacentral:rRNA from 1 species
CCUACGGGUGGCAGCAGUGAGGAAUAUUGGUCAAUGGGCUUACGCCUGAACCAGCCAAGUCGCGUGUGGGAAGACUGCCCUAUGGGUUGUAAACCUCUUUUGUCAGGGAGCAACGCCGGCUACUUGUAGCCUUCCUGAUAGUCCCUGCAGACAAAGCAUCGGCUAACUCCGUCCCAGCAGCCGCGGUAAUACGGAGGAUGCGAGCGUUAUCCGGUUUUAUUGGGUUUACAGGGUGCGUAGGCGGAAUGCCAAGUCAGCGGUAAAUUCGCGGGGCUCAACCUCGCCCCGCCGUUGAAACUGGCGUGCUGGAGUGGGCGAGAAGUAUGCGGAAUGCGUGGUGUAGCGGUGAGAUGCAU